UACGGAGGGUGCAAGCGUUAUCCGGAUUUACUGGGCGUAAAGAGCGCGCAGGCGGUCGAUCAAGUCGCGUGUGAAAGCCCCCGGCUCAACUGGGGAGGGUCACGCGAUACUGAUCGACUCGAAGGCAGGAGAGGGUAGUGGAAUUCCCGGUGUAGUGGUGAAAUGCGUAGAUAUCGGGAGGAACACCAGUGGCGAAGGCGACUACCUGGCCUGUUCUUGACGCUGAGGCGCGAAAGCUAGGGGAGCAAACGGG
rnacentral:rRNA from 1 species